UUUCUCUUAAGAAUAAUACUGCUACUUUUAGCCAAGUUAUCUUUUGGCUCUCCAAAUUUUUUGUCUCUACCGGCCUCUCCCUCUCUCCUGCUCCCAAAAUGCACGUACCAAUCGUUUGGUUGCCGAGAAAGAUGAGAUGAAUACAAGAAAAAUGAUCAUUCCGUCGGAAAACAAUAUGUAAUUCGCACUCAUUUGGUUGUCCAAAAAAAUAAAGAACCCUCCUCUGAUUCUUCCAAAACGUUAACGAACGUGAUUUGGGCUCUCAAUCCAGUGCAUGCUUCCAUAUACUUGGAAGCUAUGAUCAAUUUGAUCCUGUGAAUCUAUCUUUUUUUUUUCUUACGUUUUUUUCAAGGGCAAAAGGGAGCGCCAGGUUUAUGUCAGGGUAUGCUUUUGUAGAAUUAUGUUUAUGAAACAAUGUUUCGUAGCUGCAGGAAGGAAGAAUUCAAAUGAAAGGAUCGUCUUCUUGAAUCUAAAACGAUAGGAUUUCAAUACCCUUUUCACUGUUUAAGAUAAGCUAUGAAGUAGAGAAUAGGAUUUCUGUCAAAUGUUGAUUGUUCCUGGAAAGAGAAUGUUUUAUCUGAUGCAUUGAUUUGAAUAUAUUUAUGGGUUUUGAUCAUCCUUUCUGAAAAUGGGAUCAAAAAAUUGAAUACAUUCUGGCAUAUUAACAUGAAUGAUUCAAGGGAAAGUGAUUUAGUUGUUGAUUUGGAAAAUGGCGACAACACGAGCUCUGAUGAAGAUGAGAUCAAGGAACAUGCUCUUGACGAAGAAAUGGAUCGGGAUGAGGUUGCAGGUCAAGAUGGAUCAACCUGGAGGGGUGAAGGAUUGAAUAUUCCAAGCAAGAGUUCGUUUAUUUCAGGUGGUGUCAAGGUGAUCGAUCAGGCAGGGCGAGGUAGUAAGGAGAAGAAAAUGUCGGGGGAGAAAAAGCAAAAGAGGGGCUCCAAGAAGCCUACUAAACCACCGCGGCCACCUGGUGCUCCAUCUUUGGUCGACGAAGCUGAUAUCAAGUUAGUUAGAGAAAUCUGUGAACUUUCCAGGUUGAGGCGUGCAAGGUAUGAACGAAUCAAGGCAUUAAGGAAUAUGAGAGCUGAUAAGGCAUCUUUAUCGAAGAGUAAUGUAUUUGCAAUGAUCGUCACGAUUCUCUUCAUCUGUGUGAUCGUCUUCCAAGGCAUCUUGGGUUCUCAUGUAUGAUGCUGAUUGGUCAGAGCUCUCCAUAUUGCAUUCCCAAGGUUUCUAUACUUCACCCACCAUCGUCACCUUUUAUACCUUUUGGCUUUGCAGUGCUCUUUCUUGUCUCUUAUUGAUGUGCAUCUAUUCCUGCUACAAUAACAAUAAUUAGGAAUUGCUCCAACAACGAAUAUUAAGAGUUUUGAUCCCCAUAAACUCUGGAGACUUGAUGAUUUAAGUUGAGUUAAAGUGAUGGGGAUGGAAUUCUAGCUUCCCAGUUUUGCACUGCAGGUAUAUCCAGUGAAACAUGGAUUUAUUUCUUGUAGGAUGAGAGCAAUUGCUUCCGAAUUUGCAAAACUAUUGAAUGUCAUGCAGACAGAGGUGUUUUCUUCAGUCUAGUUAAUUUAUUUGUUGAGGAAACUUUACUGCUACUGAUAGCAAACUACAGUAAGGUUUAGGUUGGUAAUGACAUUUUUUAAGACUUUAAGUGCAUAAAGCUUUCAAACGUGUUGGAUAGAGUUGCAAACUGCAAUUAUAUAUCCAGAAAUUUGCUCAGAAUGCUGAUUUUAGUUCUCAUUCUCAAGGCUUAAAAAGGAAAAGGGCCGUAACAAACUAACAAGGUCCUGUAGCCUGGUUAUAUUGAGGGUUGAAGAGACAAGGGUUUCAAACCUGAUUGCCCAUCAUCCAAGCAGCCAUGGAUUUUCACAAUAAUUUCUGCAGAUUCAGUAUUUUACUACUCUGUUUUUCAUUUUUUUGGUACCCUUUCUGUUUCGUUUUUGUUAAUACAUGUCAACAUACAUUUUCAGAUCUUA